UCCUGGGAUAACACUGACGUUCAUGCCCGAAAGCGUGGGUAGCAAACAGGAUUAGAUACCCUGGUAGUCCACGCCCUAAACGAUGUCGAUUAGCUGUUGGGCAGCAUGACUGCUUAGUAGCGAAGCUAACGCGUGAAAUCGACCGCCUGGGGAGUACGGUCGCAAGAUUAAAACUCAAAGGAAUUGACGGGGACCCGCACAAGCGGUGGAUGAUGUGGAUUAAUUCGAUGCAACGCGAAGAACCUUACCUGGUCUUGACAUGUACGGAACCCUCCAGAGACGGAGGGGUGCCUUCGGGAGCCGUAACACAGGUGCUGCAUGGCUGUCGUCAGCUCGUGUCGUGAGAUGUUGGGUUAAGUCCCGCAACGAGCGCAACCCUUGUCAUUAGUUGCCAUCAUUAAGUUGGGCACUCUAAUGAGACUGCCGGUGACAAGCCGGAGGAAGGUGGGGAUGACGUCAAGUCCUCAUGGCCCUUAUGACCAGGGCUUCACACGUCAUACAAUGGUCGGUACAGAGGGUAGCCAAGCCGCGAGGUGGAGCCAAUCUCACAAAACCGAUCGUAGUCCGGAUUGCACUCUGCAACUCGAGUGCAUGAAGUCGGAAUCGCUAGUAAUCGCAGGUCAGCAUACUGCGGUGAAUACGUUCCCGGGUCUUGUACACACCGCCCGUCACACCAUGGGAGUGGGGGAUACCAGAAGUAGGUAGGGUAACCGCAAGGAGCCCGCUUACCACGGUAUGCUUCAUGACUGGGGUGAAGUCGUAACAAGGUAGCCGUAGGGGAACC
rnacentral:rRNA from 1 species